GACGAACCGAGCGAACGUUGUUCGGAAUCACUGGGCUUAAAGGGCGCGUAGGCGGGCCAUCAAGUCAAGGGUGAAAGCCCCCGGCUCAACCGGGGAAGUGCCUCUGAUACUGGUGGCCUCGAGGGAGGUAGGGGCGUGCGGAACUUCCGGUGGAGAGGUGAAAUUCGUAGAUAUUCGCAAGAACACCAGUGGCGAAGGCGGCUCACUGGCCCGGUACUGACGCUGAGGUGCGAAAGCGUGGGGAGCAAACAGG
rnacentral:rRNA from 1 species